UGGGGAAUAUUGCACAAUGGGCGCAAGCCUGAUGCAGCCAUGCCGCGUGUGUGAAGAAGGCCUUCGGGUUGUAAAGCACUUUCAGCGGGGAGGAAGGCGGUGAGGUUAAUAACCUCACCGAUUGACGUUACCCGCAGAAGAAGCACCGGCUAACUCCGUGCCAGCAGCCGCGGUAAUACGGAGGGUGCAAGCGUUAAUCGGAAUUACUGGGCGUAAAGCGCACACAGGCGGUCUGUCAAGUCGGAUGUGAAAUCCCCGGGCUCAACCUGGGAACUGCAUUCGAAACUGGCAGGCUAGAGUCUUGUAGAGGGGGGUAGAAUUCCAGGUGUAGCGGUGAAAUGCGUAGAGAUCUGGAGGAAUACCGGUGGCGAAGGCGGCCCCCUGGACAAAGACUGACGCUCAGGUGCGAAAGCGUGGGGAGCAAACAGG
rnacentral:rRNA from 1 species